CUCCGCCUGACCAGCAGCUGUUUCAUCUUUCCGGCACGUGUCCCGUCUUGCCCACACACCACCAGUGAUGAGGCUCCGGUUACAUAAGCCUUAUAUAGUGGACUUUUUUGCCUUUUCCAUUUCGUGCCAGUACUUCGGGGCGGGGGGGGACCGCAGGAAGAAAAGCCCCAAGCGGGCAGCUGGGGACGAAGGCCGCCCCUGGCAUCGCCAUGGGGAUCGGAGAGGCGAAAGACGGGCCGGGAAGCGCUCUGCUCUCACCUCCAAGCUUUCUCCAACCUGGUGGUCUCCUCCGCAAUGGCCCCCAACUUUUUAUCUCCAGAAGACGGGAAGCCCCAGUACUGGAGGACGGGAGNGCAGAAUUUGACUCGUGGCUGCCCUCGUGCGUUCCGCGUGAAGAUUGCAAUGCUUUUUGAGGACGCGGCGUAAGGGCAUCCUUCCUUUCCAGGCGUCUGCGAAGACAGCAGAGGUCGGAUCUGAGAUGAGGUCUUGCGCCUUUCGUCCAGUCUAGUUAGUAAUGCACUCGGCGUAGUUGGCAAUGCGAGAAACCUUUGCUGAAUUCCCUUCCUCUACGCCCUGGCAUGCUUUGUAGUAACGCUUGGUGACUAGGUGUAGUUUUCUUGGCAACAAUACACAAGUAGUUGGCCAUUGCCUUCUCCCGGGGAGACAGAACCUGUAACCAAUUACUUUCCAGACUGUUUGCUUUGUCCCCGAGCUACAGCUGUGCCCUCCUCNUUCAGAUGUGCAAGGGGCAGUGACGUGCAACAGGGCCUUUCCUGCAGUGGCCCCCAAGCUUUGGAACAACUUCCCUCUGGUGCUCACAUCAGGCACCAAUUUUGUAUGUCUUUCUGCGUCUGGCUAAAAUAUAGCUGUUCACUCGGGGUUCUGAUGCUUAGCUUUCUCUGAGUGUUGUCCUGCCAGCGAGGGAGGGAGGGUCAUAUUCUAAUGUAUUUUUUAUAGCGUUUUAUGGGUUUUAUCUUCUUUAUCGUUGUGACCCACCAUGAGACCUUUGGGUGAAGGGGAGAUAUAAAUAAAUAAAUAAAUAGGACC
rnacentral:lncRNA from 1 species